ACGACAUGCAUCAGAGAGCAAGUAAGAACAUGCCAACCAAGAAAAGUCACUCACAUAAAGUAUAAAAUAUCUUCAAGGAUAAGCAGCUACAAGUAUAUGAAUCAUAACAAACCUCCUAUUCAAACAAAAGGGAAAAAGAAAAGAAAAGAGGCAUAAGACAGUCAACAGGUAAAAAAAAAGGCAAUAGCAAGUAAGCAAGCAAUAUCGAAAGACUACUACAAUAACUAGGCCUCAAUCCCAAUCUAUUUGGUGAAUCACAAUAUCUAUUCAGUUCUAUUCGAGCCCGUUUCAGAGAAUACAACCCCCACGAAAACUAACCAUAUGAAGAAAAAUAGUUUACCUGAUCUUCUCCACUAGCACAAGCACAAAAGCUCACAGCUUCAAGGAGGAAAAAAAACCACUUGAUAUAACACACAAGGCUCAAAGAACCCAGAAAUGUUUUUAAAAAUGGAGGAAUUAACAAAUAAAAUUCAAUUUCUAGAAAAACUCAGAGCUUCCUAUCUGAUCAUGACAAAGACCAAGAUUCCUCAGUCCUUGUUCAAAGUAUUUAAAGCAGUCCAAUAAGAUAAAUUAAAGAGAAGCAGUUACUUAAACUGACCAAUAUGAAACAAACUACUAGCUUAAAAUAUUAAAAGAAGACCACAU
rnacentral:lncRNA from 1 species